rnacentral:rRNA from 1 species
UAGGGAAUCUUCCGCAAUGGACGAAAGUCUGACGGAGCAACGCCGCGUGAGUGAAGAAGGAUUUCGGUUCGUAAAACUCUGUUGUUAGGGAAGAAAAAAUGUAUAGUAACUAUAUACAAAAGAUACGGUACCUAACCAGAAAGCCACGGCUAACUACGUUCCAGCAGCCGCGGUAAUACGUAGGUGGCAAGCGUUUUCCGGAAUUAUUUGGCGUAAAGCGCGCGCAGGUGGUUUAGAAAGUCUGAUGUGAAAGCCCACGGCUCAACCGUGGAGGGUCAUUGGAAACGAAUAAACUUGGGGGCAGGAGAGAAAAGUGGAAUUCCGAGUGUAGCGGUGAAAUGCGUAGAGAUUAGGAGGAACACCGGGGGCGAAAGCGGCUUUUUGGCCUGCAACUGACACUGAGGCGCGAAAGCGUGGGGAGCAAACAGG